rnacentral:lncRNA from 1 species
AAAAAAAAAAAAAAAAAAGAAAGAAAACUACAGGCGGGGACGGCUUCUCGUCUUUCAGGAGAUUGUCAUGGUUGAGAGACUGGACUGUACCUACCCACUAUGAAUGAGCAGAACACCAUAGCUAAUAUUAACUUUCUGCAGGCAAUUGAAAACACUGCCUCAGUAUCUGAACACAAGUAACAGAGUAUGCAAGAGGAGGAGACCUGCACAACUGGAUACACCCAGAAAUGUCCCUGGCUCAACAAGCCUUCCAGCAUGACCCUGUGUCUUCCCCCUCCACGCAGAGCACCAGCAACAGUAGUGCAGACCCAGAAACCUCCCUGGCUCAACAAGGCCCCCAGCAUGACCCCAUGGCCUUCCCCUCCACCCAGAGCACCUGUAGCAGUGGUGGAGUCCCAGAAAUGUCCCUGGCUCAACAAGCCUUCCAGUAUCAGCCUGUGGCCUUCUUCUCCACCCAGAGCACCAGCAGCAGUGGUGGAGACCCAGAAACAUCCCAGGCUCAACAAGCCGCCCAGCAUGACCCUGUGGCCUACCCCUAUACCCAGAGCAACAGCAGCA